GAUUAUUAGUGAAGCUAUCUUUAGUGGUCGAAAUAAUAGUUCAACCUAAAUGAUAGCGUGGUGUAGAUUGAGUGACAUUAGCUGAUCGCAACAAACAUGAGAUGAGGUAAUGAUCUGAGAUGUCAUCGCUCUGCAGCAGAAUUUCUAUAGUAUCAACAUCAACUCCUUAUGACAGAAUUAAAUCUAGCGUAUGAUUAUGGCGAUGAGUUGGUCCUGUCACAUUUUGUCUGACUUCAAGAGAGUUGAGAAUAUCGAUAAAUGCUAAUCCCAAUGUGUCAUUUUCAUUAUCUAUGUAAAUGUUGAAGUCAUCAACAAUUAAAGGUCUAUCUACAUUAACUACUAGAUCAGAUAGAAAAUUUGCAAAUUCACCAAGGAAACCAGAGUAAGGUCAAGGUGAUCUAUAUACUGUCGCAAAUGCAAAAGAUGACAGAUAUUUAUUUUAAUUUAUUAUUAUUUAAAUCUGAUGGUGUCAUAUUAAGCAUUAUUAGUUCAAAAGACUUAAACUUAUAUCCUGUCCACUGAGUAACACCAAAAACGUCACUGUAAAUUGUAGCAACACCUCCUCCUCGACCCUUCAGACAAGGCUCAUGUUUAUAACAAUAACCAGGGGGAGUAGAUUCAUUUAAACUAAUAUAUUCAUCUGGUUUAAGCCAGGUUUCAGUCAAACAGAAUGCAUCCAAACUAUGAUCUACAAUCAUUUAAUUUACAAUUAGUGCUUUGGUACAAAGAGAUCUAAUGUUUAGUAGUCCUACCUUUAUAUGAUGUUUAUCUUCAAUUUAUUUAAUUUUUUUCAAGUUUGACCUUAAUCAAAUUUUUUUUUAAAUGAUUUAGUGAGAGUUUUGUGUUUGGUAGUUCGGGGAACAGACACAGUCUCUAUGUGAUCUCUAGGUGAUACAGUCUCUAUGUGUUGUAGUUUAUGUGACCUAUGUGACGUCUCAAGGCAGCUAGCAGACAUUCGGAUUAACUAGUUUGUCUGCUUCCUGACCUGGGCCCCAGUUAGUCAAAUACUAUCAUUAUUAAGACUAUGAGCCAAGUUACUAGAGAGGAGAGCGGCACCUUCUCUGGAGGGAUGGAGUCUGUCUCUCUUUAGCAGGUCAGGUCUACCCCAAAAACUCUUCCAGUUUUCUAUAAAUCCUAUGCUAUUCUCCAGACACCACUCAGACAUCUAGCCGUUCAGUGACACUAAUCUACUAUAAACCAUGUCAUCACAAUGAGCAGGGAGGGGGCCAGAGCGUAUUACAGUGUCUGUCAUCGUUUUUGCAAGUUCACACACCUCUUUAACAUUAUCUCUAGCGAUCUCUGACUGGCGAAGCUGGACAUCAUUAGCACUGAUAUGAAUAACAAUUUUAGAAAAUGUACAUUUAGCAUUAGCCAGCACUUGUAAAUUUGAUCUGAUGUCAGAUGCCCGUGCCCCCGAAAUGUAUUUAACAAUGUUGUCUGGAUCUCUAUUUUCACGUUCCUUACAAUAGAAUCACCAAUUAUUAAGGCUCUUUCAACAUGAUUUUUAGUGGGUGCAUCACUGAGUGGGGAGAAUCGAUUGGAAACCCUAACAGGAAUGGGAGAGUGGUAUCGCUUUGCUGAGCGAGUAUGCUGACGAGACAUAACCCAAACACCCUGCUGCGGGGGCUCUUCAGCCGGAACCAAAGUGUGUGUGUCUGUACUACCCGCAUCCAAAACAGUAUCUACCAGCUUCUCUUUCUCACUGACCUCCACUAGCGUGCGGAUGCGUGUCUCUAACUCAUUAACCUUCUCUGUCAGCCUGACUAAUUCCUUACAUUUAUCACAUGUAAAUCCCUCACUGCUGAAAGAAGAAGCUAUAGUAAACAUGUGGCAUAAUGCAGGAAGCGAUAAAAUGAGCAGGUGCCAUGACUUAACGCAAUUGUUUGUUUUUGUUGUUGUUAUGGUCCUAAUCAGCUGAUGUUUGAUACAUAUGGUGAUGGGUGCAUGGUCGUGUGUCUGUCUGCAGGAGAGAGGGAGUGGUGUGGCUCGCCAAGCUGGUUGACAUAAUUUCUAACAGCUGUUUCUCAUUACAGUGAUAGCGGAGAGACACCUUAAAACAGCUGAACACGGCAGAAGAGAGAGAGAGAAUGAGUGCGCAACAUUGUCAAACGGGAGCUGCGGGGAUCCAGGGAAUUUUCAGGACUCCAAGUCGAGUGAUACCGGAGAGAUGCCUUACAACAGCUGAACAUGCCAGAAGAGAGAGGGAGAGAGAACAAGAAUUGCAGUGGCCAAGGCUUUUUAUCGGGUUUCCUGGAUCUACUCCGCAAGCUUGAAGGGUUAUGUGCAUACCAUCCUCUGUCUUCUCUUUGUUGCCCUGGGCCUUUAUGCCCUGUUGGAUGCUGCCUCAAUAGACCC